GAGGGUCAAAACCUCGCAGCUACCUUUUAAGCUCGUGGAAAGCAGAAACUGCAGAACCCCUAUACCCCUGCGGCAGGAAACCAAACUCUUUAGUCUCCAGGGCAGCGAUGGGUCAUUCCAGCUCUGUGGAUGAGGAUGUAAUCUGAGAAUUCCUGGAGAAGAGGGCCUGCUUUUUAAAGGUUCACUUGGUGGACUUUCCUCUCUGGGCUCCAAAUCACUCUCAGUUGUUCAGCUUACCAGGACUUAAGUGUCUUCAGGGCAGGUUUUGCUGAAAUGGUGAGCGCCGUCAGACAGAACUUCAGUGAGAUACGGGUCCCGAGAGAGGGCACCAGAAAUGGAUCCAAGCACCUUAUCUUUAACACUGCAACGUUGGACCACUACUUCCAGGAAGAGAGCGUGGAUAUAUUUUCUCUAUUUCCCCAAUAAAUACAAUUAAAAACUCUGGAAGUUACAUAUAAAACAAACAUAAGAAGUAAGUAACAAGUACAGAGGAAGACAAACCUGCUAGCCUCAGGACCAAGAAACAGCAUGUCAAUAAUUUAUUGGAUUUUUGUUUUGUGUCAUAUAUCCCAGGCUGCGUGCCAGGGAACUCAGCAAUCUGGAGAUAUCAAGAGGUGUGCACAAAAAAAGCCACCCAGACACACACAAAAAGAACUUGAUCUUUCUAAAAGCCCAGGAAGAGGGCAGCCUAGCUAGACAGAAAAGGUUCAGACAAAUAACUGCUCUGCUCCAUGCCAACAACAGAGAUAAAACUAUGGCUCCACUCCCACUCUCACCAGGAAAGGCUGAGUGAGGAAUCUGGACUUCCACCCUCACUGGCACAUAAUGAGACUCCACCCAUGGUAUUAAUGAAGACUAUGUGGCAAGUCAGAAGGUCUGGCAAGAAUUUCUAGGCAGUAUAAUAAUACAAGAACUGAUAUAAAAGGCAUACAGAUCAAAAAAUAAAGAAGAAAUACAAUUCUCUCUAUUUGUAGGUUGCGUGAUUGUCUAUGAAUGAAAUCCCAAGGAAUCUACCAAAAAAAAAAACCCUCCCAGAAUUAAUAACUUCAUGAGUCAACAAGGCAACAAGGUUACAAGAACAUACAAAGUCAUACAAACAUACAAAACUCAAUUGUAUUUCUUUAUGCUAUAACAUGGAUAGCUAAAUUAAAAAUAUAAUGCAGUUUCAAUCAAUAAAUAAAAUGAAAUGCUUAGGGUGGGAACCUAACAACAUAUGUAUAGGGUUUGUGUGCUGAAAAACGAUAAAAUGCUGAUAAAGGACAUCAAAGAAGACCUAAAUAAAAGAAGAAACACACUGUGCUUGUAAAUUAGAAAAUUAAAUACAGUAGAGAUAUCAAUUCCCCCCAAACUGUAUAUAGUUUAUGCAAUUCCUAUCAAAAUCCUAGCAAGGUUUAUGUAUAUAUAUAGAGAGAGAGAGAUAGAUAGAUAUA